rnacentral:rRNA from 1 species
AGUGAACGCUGGCGGUAGGCCUAACACAUGCAAGUCGAACGGCAGCACAGUAAGAGCUUGCUCUUACGGGUGGCGAGUGGCGGACGGGUGAGGAAUACAUCGGAAUCUACUUUUUCGUGGGUGAUAACGUAGGGCAACUUACGCUAAUACCGCAUACGAUCUACGGGUGAAAGCAGGGGAGCUUCGGACCUUGCGCGAUUGAAUGAGCCGAUGUCGGAUUAGCUAGUUGGCUGGGUAAAGGCCCACCAAGGCGACGAUCCGUAGCUGGUCUGAGAGGAUGAUCAGCCACACUGGAACUGAGACACGGUCCAGACUCCUACGGGAGGCAGCAGUGGGGAAUAUUGGACAAUGGGCGCAAGCCUGAUCCAGCCAUACCGCGUGGGUGAAGAAGGCCUUCGGGUUGUAAAGCCCUUUUGUUGGGAAAGAAAAGCAGCAGGUUAAUACCCCGCUGUUCUGACGGUACCCAAAGAAUAAGCACCGGCUAACUUCGUG